AAAUUAUGUAUAGGACACUUCCACAACAAAUCCUUAAAUCUUUCCAAUGCUUCAUACAAGCUUUCAUCAUUCAUCUGCUUAAAUGAAUUCAAUCCAUUUCGAAGCUU